CACGCCGUAAACGAUGACAACUAGGUGUCGGGCAUCUAAGGAUGUUCGGUGCCGCAGCUAACGCGAUAAGUUGUCCGCCUGGGGAGUACGGCCGCAAGGCUAAAACUCAAAGGAAUUGACGGGGGCCCGCACAAGCAGCGGAGCGUGUGGUUUAAUUCGAUGCAACGCGAAGAACCUUACCUGGCCUUGACAUGCAGGUGGUAGGGAACCGAAAGGGGACCGACCCUCGGGAGCCUGCACAGGUGC
rnacentral:rRNA from 1 species